AGGGACAUUACUGUCAAUAUCCUCGCCUAAAAGAAAUCCAAUCGAAACUAAAACCGAGAAAAAUCAAACGAAAAAGCAAGAAUCAAUUUUUUUGGCAAAAACUAAGAAGAACGAACAUUAACAGAAAUUCUAUAAAAACUUACACAAUUAACCUCACAGUCGAACUACAACGAAAUGCUCUACUUCCCCAACCACACAAUAGCAAAAAUUUACAGCAACUUCAGAGAUCAAGAAAGAGAAGAAAAAGAAGUAAAAAGAAAAAGGAACAGAAAAAAAAAAGAAAGGAAAAAAAACGUAAAGGAGAAAAGAAAGAAAAAUGUUUUAAUUAUUAUGUUUUUUUAUAAAAUAACAAAUAACUAAUCCUGAGGAGCGAUAAAAAUAGAUCUUCGCUUCUCUUACACAGAGACUCGAACAUAGGACUAGAGGUAUACAAAAGAUUAACCAUUGAACUAGCAGAC
rnacentral:lncRNA from 1 species